UUGUCCAUCAUUUAUUUUUACAACCUCUGUCCUUUGGUACUCGGCUCACAGUAGGUGCUUAAUAAAUUUAUGGCGUGAAUGAUUUGCCCAAGGUCCCUCAAUGAGUGGAGGAGCCAGAUGUCAAACUCAUGUCUUCUGACUUUAAAGCCAAAUCUUUCCCAGAUGUAAUUAGCAGAGCUAUUUCCCGUGUCUGACUCCUGCCAUUAGGCCUGGGAUAAAUAGCGAUGGUUGCUUGCAAUAAAUUCCUCACACUCUCUGGCUUUCCUGCGCCUGGCUCAGCAGCAGACAUAGUGGGACCAUUUGCAGAGGUCAUAGGGAAUUCUAUAUUUGCUAAAAAGGAUGAUUCACUGCGCCCUGUAAAAGGAAUAGCUGAACUUGUGUUCCUGGAAGAGAGUCGACCUUGAGGAGACCGUGAGCAGGCACUGCGGGAAGUCUGGAUGUUGAAAAAUGAUGAGGGGCUUGGAGGCCUUCCAAAUGCCAGAGAAAGUUGCAGAAAAAGGUUUAGGGUUAAAGGAAAACAGUUUUCUCCCAUCCUUAAGGGAGAAAAUAACAACAGCUUGAAAUGAAUACAACUCUUCAGUUAUUUCAAGUCUUUUUAUAGUACUGUUCCUCAAGGCUUUCUACAAAUGUCGCACUGUGAAGCAUUUAGCAGAGAUGAUGCUCUGGGUUGGUCUGCCCAUUUCUGUUUUCUUCUAGUACAUUAACAUUGCAAUUCGCAGGCUCUGCCCCUUAGUGUCACAUGACUUGUUCUAGCCAAUGGAAUGUGAGUGGAAGUAAUGAAACCACGUAAGGCUGGCCUCUAAAAUCCCCUAGCAGACCGCCAGUCCUACUCUCUACUCUCUAUGGAUGAGAGUGAAUAUUCUGCUGUCAGGAGCCACAUGGUGGAAGGAGCAAGGAUGCCUGAGUUCACCACUUAGAGAAGAGGCAUCCUGAACAAUCGCUCUGGAAAUCCAGCUGACCAAACUCACUGGAUGGUGAUGUGUGUGAGAAAUAAACCUUCUAUUGUGACGUGCCAUAGAUAUGGACUGUGUUACGGUGCCUAGCAUUAAUUAUCCUGAUUAAUAUAGUCCAUGCAAGGAGAAAAACAACUGUGGCUGACACUAUUUAAAAUAAAACUUACAUUAGGCAGCUAAACAAGCACUGGCCUCGAGAUAAAUAAUAUUAAUACAAUCGGAGCACACCAACAGCCAGGAACUGACUAAUCCCCUCCUCCAAUUCCACAAGCCAUUAACUACAGCUUUGAUUGACAAGAGAUGGGCUUCCAUAACUUUCUUCUGAUGAGAGACCACUGACCAUAGACUGGUUCUGGCUUGUUUACAGAAGCUACAAGUGCAGGGAAGGACUCUCUCUCCGCAAUUUCCUUAUCUAACCAGUAAAGCUUCUUACCAAAGAAACACAACUGCCAUCUAUUCCCUCCCUGUGACCUCCUUACCUAUUGCAGAAAAGAAGACUGAAGAAUGCAACCACAUCUGGAUGGAUUUUUUCCACAAGAUAACGCCUGCCUACCAGUUCAUUUUCAGGGAACCUUCCGAGGGAAGAGAGGAGGCUUUCCCUUGGCGUGUACAGUCCUGGCACUGUGAGCAGGAUACCAAAACUGCUUUGCUCUUCUGGAAGCACAGUCAAGGGAACUGCAGAAAAGAAGACAAGAGUGAAGGAGACUGAGAAGGACCUGACCAGCCAGUAGAGGGGUACGGAAUUCUUACUGGUCAGGCUCCAGCCUCUCUCUCUCUCGGUGGCAUCUGGCCAAGCAGAUGGCAAAAAUCACUGUCCGUUUUCCUCUUCAAAAUCUUGAUCCAUGGGAGAAGGGGAUUUGUGUGACUGGUCUUGCGUGUAGUGACUCUGGUGUACUUUUGGGAGUGAAUAUUCAUAUUGUCGGACCCUUUUCCUCCCAGAAAUAGACUUCCUUGUUUUUGUGUGUUUUUCUGCAUAAGGAGGGGUGCCAUAGUGUAUAACAUGGGCCUAAAACCCCUCUAAGUUUGUGUUUGAGCCAGCCCUGCAUACUGGUCAGUGUGCAGUUCUGACCCUAUUGGCAUCUAUUUAGACACACUUUUUUUGUGGGGCCCUGAAAUAAAACCAGAUGAGAUUCCCCUAUUGUCUUGUGUUAUGUCCUUGAGAGCUUGCCUUUUGACCAAGUGGGAGCACUUUCUCUUGGUCUCUACCAUCCAGGGGUGGGCUUUCCAGGUCAUAUCCAGUGGCCAGUCUAAAAAAUUGGAAACCCUGAGACACAUAAGAUUUUAAGCAGCACAUGAUUUUUUCCAAACAUGUCAAGUUCUCAGAGGAGUUUGUCUUAACAAGAAGUCCCAUCCGUAAUGGGGUUUUGUCAUCUCAAUCCUUGUUGCCCGGUUGGUCCUAGGAAAGUCCAAUCCCAGGAGGGCCUACCUAGUGUGAUAGAUUAAUGGGUCUGUAAUUGGCCAUCCCCCACAAAUUUAUGGGAUACCAGAGGCAACAUAAGCACAAACACCAUUCUUAACCAUCUGUGGCAACAGAGUCUUUUGCUGUCUUAGCCAAUUUCUUGUAAUAAAUUUUUGAGGAUCAUGGACUGCAUCUUCUAUGCCCUCUCUAGCAACGCCUCUUGCUUAUAUGGUGAAAAACUAAGUCUAAACUUGGAAAACUACUUCCUGGGCUUUCCAUGAAGAGGCUUAUCGGACCAAGUCACUAUUAUAGUAAGUACACUAUUGGAAAUUAUUUGUGUGAGACUCUUGACUUUUGGGGUACCCAUUUGUUAAAGAUCCUUUUCCCUUCCAUGGAUAGCUUUUAAUUUUCUGUCUUCUAUCUGUGGGGCACAUGAGGAUUUCAGGAUUUUGUGUGUAGAUGGCAGAGUGAUAAACUGAGACUCUAGAGAACAUGGCCAGACAGAAAUGUGGGUUGUACCUCAUUUGUGGCUAACAAAACUUUCCUUUCUUUGAGGUGGUUCUGGAUCUUGUGAGGAUGACUUUGCAUCUCUUUGGAGAUACUUCAUGGAUCUCUGGUUAAGUCAUAACCUUGGUUAAGGCUUAUUGGUUUUGGUAAGGCACUUGGGAAGCUACAUUUUGUAAGCAUAGAUCAUCUUAUAUUUUGAAUGACUCUCAUACCCAUGUGCACAUUAAUAAAAUUUGUAUGUCUUUUUCCUGUUAAUCUAUUGUCAGUUUGUUUUGUAGACUUAAAUUAUCAAAAUCUCAGGGGAAAAAUUUAAACUUUCUCACAAAGACCAGUGCAGAUUCUGUCUCUAUGACUGGCACCAAGUAUACCUGCUCCCUCAGCUUCAUGCCACAGGGAGAACAGCAAUGGCAUCUGUAAACCAAAAUAAAAUCCUAAGCCUUUGUGUCAACUGGAUGGAUUUCCUCUCAGCCAAGAGGACCCCAGAAAAACCUUAAAACUGAGUUCCUGGCAGUGAAAGGAAGGGAAGUUGGGCAUGUCUCAUUACACCCCCUCCAUUUUGGGGUUUAGCUGUAAUAAUUGGCAUUAAUCUUAAAAAAGAGAUGACAAG